UGGGGAAUUUUGGACAAUGGGCGAAAGCCUGAUCCAGCAAUGCCGCGUGUGUGAAGAAGGCCUUCGGGUUGUAAAGCACUUUUGUCCGGAAAGAAAUCCUUGGCUCUAAUACAGUCGGGGGAUGACGGUACCGGAAGAAUAAGCACCGGCUAACUACGUGCCAGCAGCCGCGGUAAUACGUAGGGUGCAAGCGUUAAUCGGAAUUACUGGGCGUAAAGCGUGCGCAGGCGGUUUGCUAAGACCGAUGUGAAAUCCCGGGGCUCAACCUGGGAACUGCAUUGGUGACUGGCAGGCUAGAGUAUGGCAGAGGGGGGUAGAAUUCCACGUGUAGCAGUGAAAUGCGUAGAGAUGUGGAGGAAUACCGAUGGCGAAGGCAGCCCCCUGGGCCAAUACUGACGCUCAUGCACGAAAGCGUGGGGAGCAAAACAGGAUUAGAUACCCUGGUAGUCCACGCCCUAAACGAUGUCAACUAGUUGUUGGGGAUUCAUUUCCUUAGUAACGUAGCUAACGCGUGAAGUUGACCGCCUGGGGAGUACGGUCGCAAGAUUAAAACUCAAAUGAAUUGACGGGGUCAUAGCUGUUUCCU
rnacentral:rRNA from 1 species